GCCCUCGUAGCUCAGGGGAUAGAGCGGCGGUUUCCUAAACCGCAGGCCGUUGGUUCGAAUCCAAUCGGGGGUG
rnacentral:tRNA from 1 species